rnacentral:rRNA from 1 species
CUACGGGAGGCUCCAGUGAGGAAUAUUGCACAAUGGGGGGAACCCUGAUGCAGCAACGCCGCGUGGAGGAUGACGCAUUUCGGUGUGUAAACUCCUUUUAUAUGACAAGAAAAUGACGGUAGCAUAUGAAUAAGCACCGGCUAACUCCGUGCCAGCAGCCGCGGUAAUACGGAGGGUGCAAGCGUUACUCGGAAUCACUGGGCGUAAAGGACGCGUAGGCGGGUUGGAAAGUCAGGUGUGAAAUCCUACAGCUUAACUGUAGAACUGCACUUGGAACUGCUAAUCUAGAGUAUGGGAGGGGGAGAUGGAAUUAGUGGUGUAGGGGUAAAAUCCGUAGAUAUCACUAGGAAUACCUAAAGCGAAGGCGAUCUCCUGGAACAUUACUGACGCUAAGGCGUGAAAGCGUGGGGAGCAAACAGGAUUAGAUACCCCUGUAGUC